rnacentral:misc_RNA from 1 species
GUGAGUCAUCGAAUCUUUGAACGCACAUUGCGCCCCGUGGUAUUCCGCGGGGCACGCCUGUCCGAGCGUCAUUCCACCCCUCAAGCCCGGCUUGGUGUUGGGCCCCGCCGCUCGCGGCCGGCCCCAAAGGCAGUGGCGGCGCCGCCCGGCCCUCAGCGCAGUACGACCCUCGCUCGAGGGCCCGGCGGACGCCCGCCAGAACCCACGACCAUCGUGGACCUCGGAUCAGGUGGGGAUACCCGCUGAACUUAAGCAUAUCAAUAAGCGGAGGA